GCCUACGGGGGGCAGCAGUGAGGAAUAUUGGUCGAUGGGCGCGAGCCUGAACCAGCCAAGUCGCGUGAGGGAAGACGGUCCUAUGGAUUGUAAACCUCUUUUGUCGGGGAGCAAAAGACGCCACGUGUGGCGUUCCGAGAGUACCCGAAGAAAAAGCAUCGGCUAACUCCGUGCCAGCAGCCGCGGUAAUACGGAGGAUGCGAGCGUUAUCCGGAUUUAUUGGGUUUAAAGGGUGCGCAGGCGGAAGAUCAAGUCAGCGGUAAAAUUGAGAGGCUCAACCUCGUCGAGCCGUUGAAACUGGUUUU
rnacentral:rRNA from 1 species